GGGGAAGUAUGGUUGCAAAGCUGAAACUUAAAGGAAUUGACGGAAGGGCACCACCAGGAGUGGAGCUUGCGGCUUAAUUUGACUCAACACGGGGAAACUCACCCGGCCCGGACACCGUAAGGAUUGACAGAUUGAGAGCUCUUUCUUGAUUCGGUGGUUGGUGGUGCAUGGCCGUUCUUAGUUGGUGGAGCGAUUUGUCUGGUUUAUUCCGAUAACGAACGAGACUCUGGCCUACUAACUAGUGACAGGAUUAUUGCUGUCCUGGUUACUUCUUAGAGGGACAAGUGGUGUUCAGCCACACGAAAUUGAGCAAUAACAGGUCUGUGAUGCCCUUAGAUGUCCGGGGCUGCACGCGUGCUACACUGGAGGAAACAGCAUGCAAAACCAUUGCCGAGAGGCAUUGGUAAACCGAAGAAAAUCUUCCGUGAUCGGGAUCGGGAAUUGCAAUUAUUUCCCUUGAACGAGGAAUUCCCAGUAAGUGUGGGUCAUCAGCUCGCGUUGAUUACGUCCCUGCCCUUUGUACACACCGCCCGUCGCUGCCCGGGACUGAGCCGUUUCGAGAAAAGCGGGGACUGCUGCUGUCGGGGCUUUCGGGCCUUGGCUUCGGUGGAAACCGCUUUAAUCGCAGUGGCUUGAACCGGGGCAAAAGUCGUAACAAGGUUUCCGNUAGGUGAACCUGCGGAAAGGAUCAUUAUCGAGCUAAAAAGACUCUCUAUCGCCUCAGGAGAGCCGCCCCNNCUGAAUGUCCGAACGGGUCUGA
rnacentral:rRNA from 1 species